UGCAAGUCGAGCGAACAGACGAGGAGCUUGCUCCUCUGACGUUAGCGGCGGACGGGUGAGUAACACGUGGAUAACCUACCUAUAAGACUGGGAUAACUUCGGGAAACCGGAGCUAAUACCGGAUAACAUGUUGAACCGCAUGGUUCAACAGUGAAAGACGGUCUUGCUGUCACUUAUAGAUGGAUCCGCGCCGCAUUAGCUAGUUGGUAAGGUAACGGCUUACCAAGGCAACGAUGCGUAGCCGACCUGAGAGGGUGAUCGGCCACACUGGAACUGAGACACGGUCCAGACUCCUACGGGAGGCAGCAGUAGGGAAUCUUCCGCAAUGGGCGAAAGCCUGACGGAGCAACGCCGCGUGAGUGAAGAAGGUCUUCGGAUCGUAAAACUCUGUUAUUAGGGAAGAACAAAUGUGUAAGUAACUAUGCACGUCUUGACGGUACCUAAUCAGAAAGCCACGGCUAACUACGUGCCAGCAGCCGCGGUAAUACGUAGGUGGCAAGCGUUAUCCGGAAUUAUUGGGCGUAAAGCGCGCGUAGGCGGUUUUUUAAGUCUGAUGUGAAAGCCCACGGCUCAACCGUGGAGGGUCAUUGGAAACUGGAAAACUUGAGUGCAGAAGAGGAAAGUGGAAUUCCAUGUGUAGCGG
rnacentral:rRNA from 1 species